AUUGCCUGUGAUGAUUGUAUCCCAGCGUGUUUUGAUGUUAAAUGAAACUUCCUACUUACAACAUGCACUACCAUCUGAGGCAAU
rfam:Biomphalaria glabrata isolate BB02 unplaced genomic scaffold LGTN_random_Scaffold6123, whole genome shotgun sequence.